rnacentral:rRNA from 1 species
UACGUAGGGUGCGAGCGUUGUCCGGAAUUAUUGGGCGUAAAGAGCUCGUAGGCGGUUUGUCGCGUCUGCUGUGAAAACUGGAGGCUCAACCUCCAGCCUGCAGUGGGUACGGGCAGACUAGAGGUGCGGUAGGGGAGAUUGGAAUUCCUGGUGUAGCGGUGGAAUGCGCAGAUAUCAGGAGGAACACGGUGGCGAAGGCGGCCAUCCUGGCCGCAACUGACGCUGAGGAGCGAAAGCGUGGGGAGCGAACAGGA